UACGAAGGGGGCUAGCGUUGCUCGGAAUCACUGGGCGUAAAAGGUGCGUAGGCGGGUCUUUAAGUCAGGGGUGAAAUCCUGGAGCUCAACUCCAGAACUGCCUUUGAUACUGAAGAUCUUGAGUUCGGGAGAGGCGAGUGGAACUGCGAGUGUAGAGGUGAAAUUCGUAGAUAUUCGCAAGAACACCAGUGGCGAAGGCGGCUCACUGGCCCGAUACUGACGCUGAGGCACGAAAGCGUGGGGAGCAAACAGG
rnacentral:rRNA from 1 species